rnacentral:rRNA from 1 species
UACGUAGGGUGCAAGCGUUGUCCGGAAUUAUUGGGCGUAAAGAGCUCGUAGGCGGUCUGUCGCGUCGGAUGUGAAAAUCAGGGCUCAACCCUGGACCUGCAUUCGAUACGGGCAGACUAGAGUUCGGUAGGGGAGACUGGAAUUCCUGGUGUAGCGGUGAAAUGCGCAGAUAUCAGGAGGAACACCGGUGGCGAAGGCGGGGUCUCUGGGGCCGAAAACUGACGCUGAGGAGCGAAAAGCGUGGGGGAGCGAACAGGGAUUAGAAA